GUGAGGAAUUUUCCGCAAUGGGCGAAAGCCUGACGGAGCAAUGCCGCGUGAAGGAUGAAGGCCUAUGGGUUGUAAACUUCUUUUCUCAGAAAAGAAUUAUGACGGUAUCUGAGGAAUAAGCAUCGGCUAACUCUGUGCCAGCAGCCGCGGUAAGACAGAGGAUGCAAGCGUUAUCCGGAAUGAUUGGGCGUAAAGCGUCUGUAGGUUGUUUAAAAAGUAUUCUGUCAAAGAUUAGGGCUUAACCCUAGAUAGGCAGAAUAAACUUUUAAGCUAGAGUUUGGUAGAGGCAGAGGGAAUGCCCUGUGGAGCGGUGAAAUGCGUAGAUAUCGGGAGGAACACCAAAGGCGAAGGCACUCUGCUGGGCCAAUACUAACACUGAGAGACGAAAGCGAGGGGAGCAAAUGGGAUUAGAUACCCGAGUAGUCC
rnacentral:rRNA from 1 species